CUUUAGAGGGACCGCCAGUGCUAAACUGGAGGAAGGAGGGGUCGACGGCAGGUCAGUACGCCCCGAAUCUCCCGGGCAACACGCGCGCUACAAAGGGCAGGACAAUGAGUUGCCACCUCGAAAGGGGGAGCUAAUCUCGAAACCUGUUCGUAGUUAGGAUUGAGGGCUGUAACUCGCCCUCAUGAAUGUGGAUUCCGUAGUAAUCGCGGGUCAACAGCCCGCGGUGAAUAUGCCCCUGCUCCUUGCACACACCGCCCGUCAAACCAUCCGAGCUGGUGCUGGAUGAGGGUAUGCUCUUAU
rnacentral:rRNA from 1 species